rnacentral:rRNA from 1 species
GAUGAACGCUGGCGGCGUGCCUAACACAUGCAAGUCGAGCGGCAGCGCGGGGUGCUUGCACCCUGUCGGCGAGCGGCGGACGGCUGAGUAACGCGUGGGAACGUGCCCCAAAGUGAGGAAUAACUGCCCGAAAGGGUAGCUAAUACCGCAUAUUAUCUUCGGAUCAAAGGAUUUAUCCGCUUUGGGAGCGGCUCGCGUCGGAUUAGGUAGUUGGUGAGGUAAUGGCUCACCAAGCCGACGAUCCGUAGCUGGUCUGAGAGGAUGACCAGCCAGACUGGAACUGAGACACGGUCCAGACUCCUACGGGAGGCAGCAGUGAGGAAUCUUCCACAAUGGGCGAAAGCCUGAUGGAGCAACGCCGCGUGCAGGACGAAGGCCGUCGGGUUGUAAACUGCUUUUAUAAGUGAGGAAUAUGACGGUAACUUAUGAAUAAGGAUCGGCUAACUACGUG